GGAGUUUACAAUAGAACGUUGAACACACCAGUUCCCAUCGGACCACUAAUGUUAAGCACCGGGCUACGUGGUUGGUAGCUGGACGCGUGACCGUCUGAGACAACACGUGCUGGCUAUU
rnacentral:rRNA from 1 species